AACGGGUGAGUAAUACAUCGGAACGUGCCCAAUCGUGGGGGAUAACGCAGCGAAAGCUGUGCUAAUACCGCAUACGAUCUACGGAUGAAAGCAGGGGAUCGCAAGACCUUGCGCGAAUGGAGCGGCCGAUGGCAGAUUAGGUAGUUGGUGAGGUAAAGGCUCACCAAGCCUUCGAUCUGUAGCUGGUCUGAGAGGACGACCAGCCACACUGGGACUGAGACACGGCCCAGACUCCUACGGGAGGCAGCAGUGGGGAAUUUUGGACAAUGGGCGCAAGCCUGAUCCAGCCAUGCCGCGUGCAGGAUGAAGGCCUUCGGGUUGUAAACUGCUUUUGUACGGAACGAAACGGCCUUUUCUAAUAAAGAGGGCUAAUGACGGUACCGUAAGAAUAAGCACCGGCUAACUACGUGCCAGCAGCCGCGGUAAUACGUAGGGUGCAAGCGUUAAUCGGAAUUACUGGGCGUAAAGCGUGCGCAGGCGGUUAUGUAAGACAGUUGUGAAAUCCCCGGGCUCAACCUGGGAACUGCAUCUGUGACUGCAUAGCUAGAGUACGGUAGAGGGGGAUGGAAUUCCGCGUGUAGCAGUGAAAUGCGUAGAUAUGCGGAGGAACACCGAUGGCGAAGGCAAUCC
rnacentral:rRNA from 1 species